AUGCUCGCUUCAGUAGCACAUAUAUUAAAAUUGGAACGGUACAAAGAAGAUUAGCAUAGCCCCUGCGCAAGGAUAACACGCAAAUUCGCGAAAAAAAAUAUACAUAC